ACUACAUCUUCUGUGAAAAUGAUAAUGCUAGUAAGCACUGCCUUUAGAUCCAGGCAAGAGAUCCCUUUCAAGGGAUAAGCUCAUACCCUCCCUUCUAGAACAUUUUCCAGUACCCAGGACUUCUUCCUGGCGUCCCAGGUGUAUCUUCCCUGGGUGGACCAUGUUGCCAGUCCAUGGAAUGGCCAGGGGCAGCCACUCGCAGAGUCUGCUGGGAUGCAGAACUGGGUGUCCACACACCUGUACGAGAGAGGUUUCAUGGCCCCAGAGCCUUUCUUCUCCCCUGGGAAGAAAAGAGGGCUGGGCUGCAGACCGGGCACCAGGGACCGCCUCCCGGUGCCACCACAUUCUAGUAUGGAGUUUCAAAGAGGCCAAGAAUUCUACAUUUGAACUGGACUUUCCAGCCUCUGUUGCUCUGAGAGAGGCAAUGAGAUCAUUGGGCAGCAGUUGCCUGGGGCUUGGCUUGGAGUGGGAGGGGCGGGAGAGGUCUCCUAGCAGGAGGAAUGCGGGCUGCCAGUAGAUCUUCCUCCAGGUCCCACACAUGUUGGAGGCAGCUUGGGUAUGUCCCGGCUGGCUCAGUCCCUGAAUGCUGUGUUUAACCCUCAUCUUGUUAUGGCUAAAACCCAUCUGGAGCCAAGAAACGAGUCUCCAAAGAAAUGAAAUGCCUAGCUUAAAAGGAAAACCAUGGGGAAGUUCUGAAUAAGUAACUUAUGAAAAACAAAGUGGAAAUUACAGGUCUCUGUGAUGAAUUCAAAGAUUGUUCCAAGGUGGAGAGUAAUGUUAAAUGAGGGCGUUUAAGGCAAAGAAGGGGGGGGGGGGGUGGCAGGUAGGAGAGAAAGGCAACUGACACUGAACUGAGAACGUACCAAGACUCCGUCUCAAACAAAUGUGCGUUAUGUGUAGUAAGUGUUCUGUAUGCUGCUAUAGUGAUUUAAAAUGCACACAACUUCAUCCUUUUAGGCACCACCCAUUAAAAUGUGGGCAGGUACACACAGUUAGCCUGGACUGUCACUCUCUUCUACACACUUAAAAGAUUUACUAAGAAAACUCAGAGAACAAACAAGAGUACAAGGGGAAUGUUAGGCUUAAUUAAGCAAUCAGCUCUUUAAAGGACUUCAGCACAAUAAUUGUUGGUAUGUGAAUGUGCCAUGAAUUAUAAAUGAGUCAUCUGUUCUUUGAAGAAGACAGAACAGGAUCUCUUCUUGGAAGGACUUGGGGAGCACUCUGAGUUGUUGAAAGGUAGCAAAUUGCAUUUCGUGCUCAUCAGGCAAUAAUUACAGUGUCCUUUUAAGCCUAAAAACAACAGGGAACAUCUGUUAGGUGUUUAUUACAUGUGGGCCCUUGGUCGAGUGCCUUCCAGACGUUUGGCCCUCACCAUAGGCCUAUGGAGUACCGGAUACUAGUACUGCAGCCAUUUCACAGAUGAAGAAACUGAGGCCCUUGGCACCUUGCCCAAAUUACCCAGCUACAGGCGCAAUGUGCUCUGUGCCCUUAAAAGUUCACUGUCUAGUAUUUAAGGUUGUACAUUUUCUAAUUUUAUUACGUUCAGGCCAGCUUCAUCUCCCAGCUGAUCCAAAUUCGGCAAGCUUCACUAAAAUAGUAUCAAGUAUUUUUCUAGCCAAUGAACUAUUGUCAUGUAUUAUAAUAGGAAUGAGGGGGAAACUCACUGUCUUACGGAACACCCAAUCCACACUUGGGAAUCGACUGCCCAAAGAGAAUGCUUGUUUCCAGAUUGUAGUGUAGUAUUUAUUAUGCCUGAACAAUGACCGGAACAGUGAUGAUUUUGUAACAAAACCUCAGGGAAGCUAUUAACAAGUUGGCAUUUCUAAUUUGUGUGGAAAUGCUCAUUUUAUUUAUCAGAAAAUUAUAGCAAUGGUGUUCACUUAAUUAAGAAUUGAUACUGUGGAGAGGAAUUUUGUGUGUGUGUGUGAAAUUCAUAAUAUUGCAGACGAACAUGAACGGGAACGCAAAAGAAAAUUGGUUAAAUAUCUAAAUGUCAGCUUAUUUUCCUUUGAACUUCUCAUUUUACGUGGUUUGAGAGCUGCUUAACAAAGGAAUUGUAUAAAUGCAUUGUAUCACUUUACAAGAUGUUUUUUAGGACAAAUUCAUGUAAGUAGGAACUGCACUAGGUUUGUAAAUAGCCCCAAAGAAAAAGACUUCCAACUUUUGACAACUAAGGAAACUACCCGUGUAUUACAAGGCAGGUUAAGAUCUAAUAGCUUUUUCAACUGCCAAUAAAGCGUGGGCACGGCUUUACCUGUGUGAUAGGUAUUAUAAAACCAAAAGAAUGAGAGUGGUUUGAAUGAGAAGGGAUCUGAGAAAGGCAGAGAAUUUGAGGAAAUCUGGAAACUUGAAGGAGACAAAGAAAAUGGGAAGCGGGGCAGAGGAGAACGCCUGCCUUUGGUGGCUGACUCCCACACUGUCACCAGGAAACGAUGCUCAUGUGCUGGGAGCUCUGGUUAUCUGCUGGCUCCAAGUGCCCACAGGCGGGUGUGCCACUGCAUGGCCCAGACGCCCCAACCCACCUCACUUCAAGGUCUGGAUUCAUUUGUUCACAGUAAGCAUUUGUUUUACAGGAAUUUUGUACCAGGUGCUGGGCUGGGUCAGGGGACACACCCAUGAACAAGGAUUGCAGGUCCUUGGCCUCUUGGAGCUGACAUUCUGGUCAGAGGGACCAGUCUGCAAACAAGGAGCCCUUCCGAAAUGAGGAUUCACUUAAGCUCCCUCCCUGAUUCCUCUACUCCGUGCAGGCCAUGUCCUACCCCAGCUUUAAAGCCGUCAUACCUGUACCUCAGAGAGAAAAAAGAGACUUGGGACAGCACCUGGCACAUGGAAGCAUUUGAUAAAUAUUUGCUGAAUUGAACAAAAUUAACUAAGAAGAUUCAAACAGAGAGAGUUCAGCACUGCAACCUGUCAGCUCUGGCCUUGGGCGAGUCAUAAAACCUCUGAGCCUCAGCUUUCUUGCCUGUAAAUGAGAGAAGUAAAACCUAACUUUAAACGUUUUAAA